CGCGGGGCCUGUUGCUGCUCCAAUGUUUCUGAAUUUGAGGCGUGAAGUGAUACAGAACAACUGGUGCUGAACUGACUGGUUAUACUGGGACACAGAGGCCGAGUGGACUGGUUAUAUUUUGCACUGAGCAGAGAAAGUGAACCUGGAGCAGAUUGUGGAGGAGGUCGAGGUGCAUUGGACUCAGAGAGACUUCAGCCAGAUGAAGCAGGGGUGUCAAACAUACGGGCCAGGGUCCAGAACCAGCCCAGCAAACAGUCCAAUCCAGCCCACUGAAUAACUCUGGACACCUAAUACUGAUGCACUUGUGAAGGCUCAGAGUUGCCAGGUUUCAGGAGCAAGUUAAACAGAAGUUUCUCAAAGUCAGGGAAGGGUCCUUAAAUGGCUGAAUUUCAAGGACGUCAUCAAAUCCCGCCGAAGGACUGUUCCAAUGUCAAGGACCCUUCAGAUUCUACCGAGGACUGAGUCCAAGGAUGCACAUGUGUAUCCU